rnacentral:lncRNA from 10 species
UUAUAUUACAGUUUACUUUAUGUGAUAUUGCUAUAGACACUGCAUUUGUCUUAUACUUACUUUUUACAUGGUAUAUGUUUUUCAAUCCUUUCCCCUUCAGCCUUUCUAUGUUUCUGUAUGCUUUGUAGACAGCCUAUAAUUGGGUCCUCUUAGGUGAUCCGCUCGCCUUGGCCUCCCAAAGUGUUGGGAUUACAGACGUGAGCCACCGCGCCUGGCCAUCUCUUAGUUUUUUUAAAAAAUCAACUUAUUUGAGAUAUAAUUUGUAUACAAAAACAUACUUAUUUUAAGUGUACAUUUUGAUGAGUUUUGACAUAUUAAUUAUGCAUGUAAACGCCAACACAAUCAAGGUAUAGCACAUACCUAUUGCUCUACAAUGCUCCCUGUAUUCAUUUUCAGUCACUGCUCUCUCAUUCUGCCGUUCCUAAGUAAACACUGAGCUGUGUCUGCCACUAUAGAUUACACUUAUCUUUUCUAAAGAUUUGUAUCUGGCUUCUUUUACUCAGUAUAUUUUUGAGAUUCAUCCAUGAGGUGGUAGAUAUCAAUAGUUUAUUCCUUUUUAAUGCUGAGCAGUAGUCUAUUGUAUGAAUAUUUCACAAUUCAUUUACCCAGUUAAAGGUAUUAUAAUUAUGGCUCCUGUUUGUAAUGAGAAGUCAUGGACAAUUCACAUUCUCUUUCCCUCUGUGUAUUGUGUCAUUUUUUUUCUGUAGUUUAUUUCAAGAUUUUCCACUUAUCUUUAGUUUUCAGCAGUUUGACUUUGAUUUGCCCACAUGCUGUUUUCUUUGUACUUUUCCUGUUUGGAGUUUUCUGAGUUUCUUGAUCUGUAAAGUUACGUCCUUCACCAAACUUAUGAAAUUUUCUUUCUUUCUUUUUUUUUAAAUUUGAGACAGGGUCUCACUCUGUCACCCAGGCUGGAGUGCAGUGGUGCAAUCUUGGCUCACUGCAACCUCUGCCUUCCAGGCUUAAGCGAUCUUCCCGCCUCAGCCUCCCAAGUAGCUAGGACCACAGGCGUGCACCACCAUGUCUGGCUAAUUUUUGUAUUUUGUUCAGAGACAGGGGUUUGCCAUGUCGCCCAGGCUGGUCUCGAAUUCCUGGGCUCAAGUGAUUUGCCUUUGUUGGCCUCCCAAAGCGCUGGGAUUACAGGUGUGAGUCACCACACCUGGCCAAAUUUAUGAAAUUUUCUGACAUAAUUUUCAAAUAUUUUUUUCUGCCCUAUUCCCCUUUUUCCUCCUGGGACUCCACUGUCAGGUGAGUUAGACCUUUUGAUAUUGUCCGACAGCUCACUGAGGCUCUCUUCAUUUCUUUGCAAUUUUUUUGUUCUAUUUCUCAUAUUGGAUAAUUUAUUUAUUUUCUUUCUUCUUUUUCUUUUUUUUUUUUUGAGACAGAGUCUCACUUCUUCACCCAGGCUGGAAUGCAAUGGCACGAUCUCGGCUCACGGCAAUCUCUGCCUCCUGGGUUCAAGCAAUUCUCC